rnacentral:rRNA from 1 species
AGUGAACGCUGGCGGUAGGCCUAACACAUGCAAGUCGAACGGCAGCACAGUAAGAGCUUGCUCUUACGGGUGGCGAGUGGCGGACGGGUGAGGAAUACAUCGGAAUCUACUUUUUCGUGGGGGAUAACGCAGGGAAACUUACGCCAAUACCGCAUACGACCUACGGGUGAAAGCAGGGGAUCUUCGGACCUUGCGCGAGUGAAUGAGCCGAUGUCGGAUUAGUUAGUUGGCGGGGUAAAGGCCCACCAAGGCGACGAUCCGUAGCUGGUCUGAGAGGAUGAUCAGCCACACUGGAACUGAGACACGGUCCAGACUCCUACGGGAGGCAGCAGUGGGGAAUAUUGGACAAUGGGCGCAAGCCUGAUCCAGCCAUACCGCGUGGGUGAAGAAGGCCUUCGGGUUGUAAAGCCCUUUUGUUGGGAAAGAAAAGCAGCAGGUUAAUACCCCGCUGUUCUGACGGUACCCAAAGAAUAAGCACCGGCUAACUUCGUG